ensembl:lncRNA
GUAUUCAUCACCCGCUUUCAACAGAUGAGCAAACCGAGGCACAGAGAAGAGGAUCCAGCAAAGAAUUCAGAGGCUGGAGGAAUGGUGGAACUACAGGAUGAAAGGAGCCUGGUGCCGAGUCACCGUGCAGAGGAAGGCUGUGGCAAGUGCCUGCAUCGGGCUGUUAUUCGGCUAAAAAAUAAACGUCCAUCACUUUAAUCAACUCAAGUAUGGAGGUUGUUCGCCAUUGCCUCAGACCACCAUCAGACCACCGCUGAUACUGGAGUUGGAAAAGAAAGCUUCUCCUAGAAUCAGAGGCCCUCUGGUUGAAAAGAACCUUGGAUACCACAGAUGCAAAGCUCCCCUUACAACAUCUCCAUCCACAGUUCUCCCAACCAGACUUGCACACCCACCAUGACGGGGAGCUCACUCCCAGUGGAGGCGUCAUCUUCUGUCUUUGGACUGCCUUGGCUGCAGGAGGGAUUUCCUUACUCUGAGCCUUGCCUCAGCCCCCUGCAGAGCCCACCGGCUUCUCAGUCUUCACAUAGCUGAGAGUGAAGGCCAGGUGCUCCUGGGUGACCCCUUCUUUCUCUAGCCAACGAAUGUGCACUGAGGCCUCUGGCCUGCCAGGCCCUCUCCGGGCGGCUCACUGCCCUCUGUCCACCUUGCCUCUGGGCUGUGUUUUGUAGCACCCACACUGUGUUAGUCGUUUCCUGUGCACACAGUAGGUCUGAUUCUCAUCACCUCUGCCCCUGGCAUUGGUCUCAAUGGGAAGUGACCAUAGAAACAUUUCCCCAACCAUCACAUGUGCAGCUCUUGGCACCUUUUAUCUCAUUUCAUCCUCACCACAACCCUAAGGGAUAUGGGUCACCUUACUCCCAUUUUACCAAAGAGGAAACUGAGGUUCAGAGGGGUGACGCUAUUUGCCCCAAGGACUAUAACUAGAAAGCGUUAGCAUGCGUGCUAGUCACUUCAGUCAAGUCCGACUCUUUGCCACCCCAUGGACGGUAGCCCACCAGGCUCCUCUGUCCAUGAGAUUCUCCAGGCAAGAAUACUGGAGUGGGGUUGCCACACCCUCCUCCAGGGGGAUCUUCCCGACUCAGGGAUCGAACCCACGUCUCUU